AGGAAAGGAGUAUGGUGGUAAAACAUUUGUCUAGCACACAGAAGGUCUGGGGUUCUAUCCUCUAUGUUUCUA
rnacentral:tRNA from 1 species